CGUUUAGGGCCUGAUGCAAAGCCCAUUAAAGUCCAUGGGAGUCUUUCCAUUGGCUUCAGUGGGCUUUGGAUCAGGCUCUUAACCU
rnacentral:pre_miRNA from 1 species